GAUAUUACCAGCUCUAGAGGAAGGGAAAAUGUUAUCAAUCCAGUCACAUUCAGAAAAUCAUUUGCUGAAUGGAGCUAUUGCCAACAUGAAAUUGACCUUCUUCAUGAGCAGACAUGGAAAAAUUGCCCUCCUUGUAGUAUUGAUCAACAUUCAUGUCAUAUUGAUGGAAAUCAAAAAGUGUACAGAUUCAGCAAAGUACCAAGGGGUCCAGUCCAGUGUUAUUAUCGUGAUGUAUUGAUUGCAAACUAUAGUUUUGUGGA